rnacentral:rRNA from 1 species
UGCAAGUCGAACGAUGAAAUCCUCUGCUUGCAGAGGAUGGAUUAGUGGCGAACGGGUGAGUAACACGUGGGUAACCUGCCCAUAAGAGGGGGAUAACAUUCGGAAACGGAUGCUAAUACCGCAUAGGUCUUUGAGACGCCUGUCUCUUAGAUGAAAGGUGGCUUCGGCUGCCGCUUAUGGAUGGACCCGCGGCGUAUUAGCUAGUUGGUGAGGUAAUGGCUCACCAAGGCUGUGAUACGUAGCCGACCUGAGAGGGUGAUCGGCCACACUGGGACUGAGACACGGCCCAGACUCCUACGGGAGGCAGCAGUAGGGAAUCUUCCACAAUGGGUGAAAACCUGAUGGAGCAAUACCGCGUGAGUGAAGAAGGUCUUCGGAUCGUAAAGCUCUGUUGUUAGAGAAGAACAAGUCGGGUAGUAACUGCCCCGACCUUGACGGUAUCUAACCAGAAAGUCACGGCUAACUACGUGCCAGCAGCCGCGGUAAUACGUAGGUGACAAGCGUUGUCCGGAUUUAUUGGGCGUAAAGCGAGCGCAGGCGGUCUUUUAAGUCUGAUGUGAAAGCCCACGGCUCAACCGUGGAGGGUCAUUGGAAACUGGAAGACUUGAAUGCAGAAGAGGAAAGUGGAAUUCCAUGUGUAGCGGUGAAAUGCGUAGAUAUAUGGAGGAACACCAGUGGCGAAGGCGACUUUCUGGUCUGUAAUUGACGCUGAGGCUCGAAAGCGUGGGGAGCGAACAGGAUUAGAUACCCUGGUAGUCCACGCCGUAAACGAUGAGUGCUA